GCUGGGUGUGGUGGCGCACACCUGUAGUCUCAGCUACUUGGGAGGCUGAGGCAGGAGAAUCGCUUGAACCCGGGAGGCAGAGGUUGCAGUGAGCUGAGGUCAUGCCACUGCAUUCCAGCCUGGGUGACAAAGCAAGACUCUGUCUCCA
rnacentral:SRP_RNA from 1 species